rnacentral:tRNA from 1 species
AGGGUUUUAAGUUAAAUAAACUAUUAGCCUUCAAAGCUUUAAAUAAAGAUCAUUUCUUUACUCCCUG